CCGAGCAACGAUUAGGCGACCCGAAAGGUCCGGUAAGUAGCCAACCACCGAGACGCAGGAGGAACUUGAUAGCUAGGGUUUCCCAAGAACGCCUAUAAAUAUGUAAAUAUGUAGACAAACGCAGCUUACACACAACUCGAAGCCUCUCUUAGGUUUUGGUUUCGUCUUCCUCUGUUGGUUCCUCUCACUCUCGCUUUCUCUGUGUUUGCGUCUCUACCUCUUUUUAUUUUUAUUUUUAUGAGAUACUUGGCUGCCUCAAUCAGCACGAUGCACUACCCCGGGCUUCUCUGAAUGAGUAAUCAAUCGAUGAAGACGAAAGCCCCAUUGCUCGUGCCAAAUCGAUCCGACGUCAAGUGUUGCAGUUCAGCCAAUCUCUUUCUCCACGGCUGAGCUGUGUCAAAUCGACGCCCACAUCUCAAUCUCUCUCUCUUGAGAAUAAAUCUGUUAUUUCUUUCCUUAAUCUUUGCCUCGCUACACCUUUAGCUUGUUUUAUUGUUAUAGAUAGCGAUAUGAAAACAAGGCUAGUCAUUGAGGCAGAUAUUGAUUUUUGGCGGUUUUCACGUGGGGGUUUAUUUUCUCAAUGGUUUUGCCUCUAAAAAUAUCCGCUACAGGUUCUCUCCAGCUUUCCUUAUCGUGUUCUUCUUCACAACUGCAUUUACUGGCAUGGAUCUCAUUGAACUAAUUAGGAAACGAAGGCGUAAAUUUAUUUAUUUUCUAUGAACUGUCUUGGCGAUGAUUACACUAUCCGCGCUUCUGAGAAGUAUCAGUGAAGCAUAAACGGAAAAAUGGUUGAAUUUCUUGAUAUGAGCCGACUUUUAAUUCUGCCUCGUUUUUUAAAUGCGUGGUUGGCUUAUUUCUUUUUCUUUUUUAAAUUAUAGGAGUGAGUUUUAAUUCUACAAAUCGGCAGUGAUGAUGAAAUUACAGCUUUAAAUGCCAGUUCUGCUUCUGAAGAUUCUUGAUUGAAAGAGCUGUUAUGUGAUCUGAGCCCAAUGGUCAAUCAUAUAUGCCAAUUAAUGUUUUCUCAGCUUUUUUUUUGGUUGAAACUAGUGUCCAUCUCUUCGUUACAAUUGUUGGUUUUAUUCUAUUAUUUUGUAUGUGUGCUUUAUUUCGAUCAUCGGAUUGGCGUAUUUAAUUCAAUGAUGACUGUCCACAUACAUGAGAUUAGUUAGCUUCAAGCCCCUGUUUUCAGGGAGAACCUACUUGAGGCUGCUAUAUCAUUACUUGAAAUUACUGGACCAUUCUGAGAAUACUCUUGCCAAAGCCAGACAAAUUGCUGUCAUUUUCGAGUUCUCAUUCAAUUGAAUCUUAUAAUUUUGGUCUUGAUGCCUUUACGAUGCCAAUGAUGAUCCAACUCUUUUGAUGUGUUGUGGAGCCAAUUCCUUGCCUUGCAAGGAGAACCUAGUUGGUGAAGCAACAUUUGAAAUGAUGAUUCAAGGGAUUUAACUGAGGUUCUACCUAAAUGGAAUUUUAAUUAUAUUAAUGAGCCAAGUCCCCAUCUUUUUGGGAGAACCUACUUGGUGAAUCUGCGUUUCCAAUGGCUGAAAAUACAGAAACUGAGGUUCCUGAUUUCUAUCUUCUCUGUUGCCUUUGUCAGCUUUGAAUGUGGAACUGCUUUUCGGUAACUAUAUGUGUACUACUUCAUAUUUCUCUGCCAACUCUAUUUUCAAUCGAGUUUUAACUAUACUCUAGCCCCCUUAAUGGGUCUAGGGUCUGAAAAACUCGGAAAUUCUGUGUGGUCAUCAGCUUCUUCUCUUGAACAUUACGAGACUGGAGUUAAAUAACGGCACUAUAUUCCUGGCUUGUACUCCUAAUUCCUUUUUAAUUAUGAGUAGGAAGAUUAGUUGUUAAAAUUAAUAAUUAUAUUCUAAUUAUAAACAAUUAUAUUUUCAAUUGUCCUAAUAUCUUAUAAUCCUAAAUAUUCGUUACCAACCAAAUAUUUUCGUUGUUCGUUCAAGUAAUUUAUUUUGCUAAUCUUUCGUCUAGCAGAAUGCCCCUAAAUGAGUGAUCCAAAUGCAACCUCUUUUGUCUGCUUUGAUCUGGGUUUCUACCCCACUGAUACUAUCUUACAGGGAUUUUAUACAGCUUUUUGACCUUUAUAAGCAAGUUCCAACACGAUAUUAACCAACGUCGAAGGCACCGUCACCCCUUGCCACGGUACACAUCUUGCAACUACUGGCCGUGUCAGACAAACCUGCAUUUGACAAGUGGCAGGGUCGAAUUGGUUCAUGCAUUGAGAUACAACACCAAGACUACAUUUCUCAUGAUGUAUAUAAUCGCUAGUAGAAUCAUGCGACAUAUGUUAGGUCUAUUCAUUUUUUAUGAUUGAAUUGUAUAUAAAUUUUUGGUUAAA